GAUGAACGCUGGCGGCGUGCCUAAUACAUGCAAGUCGAGCGAACAGACGAGGAGCUUGCUCCUUUUACGUUAGCGGCGGACGGGUGAGUAACACGUAGGUAACCUACCUAUAAGACUGGGAUAACUUCGGGAAACCGGAGCUAAUACCGGAUAAUAUUUCGAACCGCAUGGUUCGAUAGUGAAAGAUGGCUUUGCUAUCACUUAUAGAUGGACCUGCGCCGUAUUAGCUAGUUGGUAAGGUAACGGCUUUGCAAGGCAACGAUACGUAGCCGACCUGAGAGGGUGAUCGGCCACACUGGAACUGAGACACGGUCCAGACUCCUACGGGAGGCAGCAGUAGGGAAUCUUACGCAAUGGGCGAAAGCCUGACGGAGCAACGCCGCGUGAGUGAUGAAGGUCUUCGGAUCGUAAAACUCUGUUAUUAGGGAAGAACAAACGUGUAAGUAACUGUGCACGUCUUGACGGUACCUAAUCAGAAAGCCACGGCUAACUACGUG
rnacentral:rRNA from 1 species